UGUAAGAAGGUGUAUUGACGCACAGAAAAUUUUGAUUUUUAAGGACAAGUUUAAAUCUUGAUCUUACAA
rnacentral:tRNA from 1 species